rnacentral:misc_RNA from 1 species
UAUAUAUAUAUGGAAUCCACACCUACCUAUCUAACAAUCCUCCAAUACACACUUCUUUCUUUUAGCUGAUAAAAUAUUCUGCAACUAAAUAAUCAACCAUGGCAAUUAGCCUAAUCCUGUUCUUGAUAACCCAUCUUUUUGUACACUCAGAAUCCAUUAGUAGAGCUGAUUUCCCCAGUGGGUUCACCUUUGGAACUGCUUCUUCAGCUUACCAGUUUGAAGGAGCUGUAAAUGAAGGAAAUAAAGGAGCUAGCAUAUGGGACACCUUCACAAGGCAACCAGGAAGAAUAUUGGAUUUCAGCAAUGCAGAUACAGCUGUUGAUCAAUAUCACCGGUUUAAGGGAGAUAUUGAUUUGAUGAAGGAUUUGGGGAUGGAUGCCUACAGAUUUUCAAUAUCUUGGCCAAGAAUUUUUCCAAGUAAGUUACAAUCAGUCAGGUCAGAUCCUGAAAAUUUUGCUUGCCAUUCUUGUGGGUCAUCAUCAACUUGUAGCAAACUGUUUUGGAAUUUAUUUUAACAGACGGAACAGGGGAACCUAACCCGGAAGGAAUAGAUUAUUACAACAGCCUCAUAGAUGCUUUACUGGAAAAAGGUUGCUUGGCCUAGCAUAAUUUUGAAUUAAUUUUUUUUAAUAUUAAAAUAGACAUAGUAUUAAUUGUAGCUGUAGCUGUUCUUUCAAUCAGGAAUCCAGCCUUAUGUAACUCUGUACCAUUGGGAUCUUCCACAGAUGCUUGAAGAUAAAUAUGGAGGAUGGUUAAGCAAACGAAUAGUGUAAGUAUAAAAGAAUUGUAGGUGACAUUUUUUCUAGAAAAAUAUAUAGUCAAGGCCUUCGAAAAAGCAGAGAGCAGCCUGCAUACAUGAUAGGCGACUCUUUCUUGUCUCUUGCAAAAUGAGUAAUCUCAUGCACUGGGGAUGCCCUUUUAUAUGCUUUAGAAAUGAAUUGAUUUGCUUACAGAAAGGACUUUGAGCAUUAUGCCUUCACCUGCUUCCAUGCCUUUGGAGAUAGAGUGAAACACUGGAUCACCUUCAACGAACCUCAUGGUUUCUCCAUCCAAGGUUACGACACCGGUAUUCAAGCUCCCGGCAGGUGUUCUAUUCUCAGUCAUCUGCUUUGCAAGAUGGGAAAUUCAUCAGUUGAACCGUAUAUUGUAGCUCACAACAUCCUCUUGUCACAUGCUGCUUCAUAUCGAUGUUAUCAGUCAAAUUUCAAGGCAAAACAAGGUGGCCAAAUUGGUAUAGCAUUAGAUUCCAAGUGGUACGAACCAAUAUCCGAUGCCGAUGAGGACAAAGAUGCAGCGCAAAGAGCAAUGGAUUUUGCAAUUGGAUGGUAAAUAUGUCAGGUUCAUAACGUUUCAGAAGGAAUCAAAUUCCAUUGUUUGAAACAUGAUCUAUUUGAGUUUUAAACAUGAUCUAUUUGACACACUAAAAAACCAAAUCAGGUUCCUUAAUCCACUUUUCUUUGGCAAAUAUCCUCUUUCAAUGAAAAAGCUUGUGGGUGAAAGAUUACCUGAGAUCACUCCAGAGAUGUCCAAAGUCUUAGCGGGGUCCCUGGAUUUUGUGGGCAUUAAUCAUUACACAACUCUGUAUGUUAGAAAUGACAGGACUCGGAUUCGGAAACUAAUAUUGCAGGAUGCCUCAUCUGAUGCUGCUGUAAUUACUACUGGUAAGAUGCUGAACACAAUUAAUACUUAAACAUCUGAAGGGCAAUAACGUGUGCAAUAAAACAAUUGCCUGAUGAACUUUGUAUCUGUCCUCUCAAUUGUAGCUUAUCGACAUGGAAUCGCUAUUGGAGAACGAGUAUGUCCCAACAAUUUACAGGGCCCUAGGUAGGAUUUUGUUAUAUAUUUCAAAUAAAAGUCAGCUCACAAUUACUUCCUCCUCCAGGCAGCUUCCCGCUGGCUACACAUUGUUCCCUGGGGCAUUCGUAAAUUGGUGAACUAUGUGAAAGAUAAGUAUAAGAACCCACAAGUGAUUAUAACGGAGAAUGGUAAGCAGUUCUUCAGAACCCUAAAACCAAAAAGCUGAAGUUUUGAAUUAUUACGUAGCUUAAUUUCAGAAUUGCAGGAAUGGACGAUGCAAACAAACCAUUUAUGUCAUUAAACAAGGCCUUACAGGAUGAUAAGAGGAUAGAAUACCACAGGGACUAUCUCUCAAACCUGUCUGCAGCUAUAAGGGAAGACAAGUGCGACAUUCGGGGCUAUUUCGUGUGGUCUGUGCUUGACAACUGGGAAUGGAACUCAGGCUACACCGUACGAUUUGGACUCUACUUUGUGGAUUACAAAAACAAUCUUACGAGAAUACCAAAAGCUUCUACUCAAUGGUUCAAAAGUAUUCUCAGAUUAAACAGUGAUAUGAAGAGUCAGCUUUGAAGUUUAUAUGUUACAAAAACAUAGGCCAUGCACAUAAUUUACCAUGCAAUUGAUAUUGGAAAAAAAUUUGUUAACAUUCAUAGAAAAUCAUAUAAGAAAUAAAACAUGGAAGAAAUAAAAGGCACACCAUGAAUUAGUGAAACCUUAUAUUGCCCUGUUGUUUCUGUUCUGGCAGCUGUUCAGUUUGUCUUUCAAAUAUCACAACUAAGAGGUGAGUUGAUAUUUCUUUAUCCACAAAAUAUUAACAAAAAUAUUGUGCAGAUUGAUUCAUUUCUGACCUUGCACAUAGGUAAGAUCACCUUGGGAGAUCACUAUUCAUUCCAUUUGUAAUAUUAUUAAAAAAUUUUGCAGCAUCACUUGGGCUGUAGAAAGUUAUGAAAUAAAAUGGACUAAUAUCAUACCCCAAAAAUUUAUUAAUUCUUAGUUUGCUUUCAUGUUUGGACAGUGCUCCAUUUAACUGGGAUUAACAAUGUAGUCAAUGGAUGCUUCAUAAUUUCAUUAAACUAGGUAUGUAAGAAGAUAAAAUGGUAAAACAUAAAGCCCCAAUUCGACACCAGCAUUUAAGUGCAAGCACAAGCCAUCGAACCCCAUAGCCACCGCAAUCACAAUAGAUAAUAACAAAUAAAGCGACAAGAACACUCACUGGAUGAUUAGCGAGCAUCAAAUUGAAAAAACUCGCUCCUCUCUAGUUUCUAUAGAGAGAGAGAGAGAGAGA